rnacentral:tRNA from 1 species
UCCCGGGUCGUCUAGUCUGGCAGGACAAGAGUCUUUGGAAUUCUGAACGGAGGUUCGAAUCCUCCCCCGGGAG